rnacentral:rRNA from 1 species
GGAGCGACACCGCGUGGAGGAUGAAGUUUUUAGGAAUGUAAACUCCUUUUGGCAGGGAUGAAAAAAAUGACAGUACCUGCAGAAUAAGCACCGGCUAACUACGUGCCAGCAGCCGCGGUAAUACGUAGGGUGCAAGCGUUGUUCGGAAUUACUGGGCGUAAAGAGUACGUAGGCGGCAAUGUAAGUCUGAUAUUAAAGACUGGAGCUUAACUUCAGGAGUGUAUUGGAAACUACAUAGCUAGAGGAUAGUAGAGGAAGUCGGAAUUCCCAGUGUAGCGGUGAAAUGCGUAGAUAUUGGGAAGAACACCAGUUGCGAAAGCGGACUUCUGGGCUAUUACUGACGCUGAGGUACGAAAGCGUGGGGAGCAAACAGGAUUAGAUACCCUGGUAGUCCACGCGGUAAACGAUGGAUACUAGGUGUAACUGGCUUCGACCCCAGUUGUGCCGUAGCUAACGCAUUAAGUAUCCCGCCUGGGGAGUAUGGCCGCAAGGUUGAAACUCAAAGGAAUUGACGGGGGCCCGCACAAGCGGUGGAGGAUGUGGUUUAAUUCGACGCAACGCGAAGAACCUUACCAAGGCUUGACAUGUACAGAAUCCAGCGGAAACAUUGGAGUGCUCGCAAGAGAG